GGAAAGUGGGCGGCGUGCUAUACAUGCAAGUCGAGCGAACAGACAAGGAGCUUGCUCCUUUGACGUUAGCGGCGGACGGGUGAGUAACACGUGGGUAACCUACCUAUAAGACUGGGAUAACUUCGGGAAACCGGAGCUAAUACCGGAUAAUAUUUCGAACCGCAUGGUUCGAUAGUGAAAGAUGGUUUUGCUAUCACUUAUAGAUGGACCCGCGCCGUAUUAGCUAGUUGGUAAGGUAACGGCUUACCAAGGCGACGAUACGUAGCCGACCUGAGAGGGUGAUCGGCCACACUGGAACUGAGACACGGUCCAGACUCCUACGGGAGGCAGCAGUAGGGAAUCUUCCGCAAUGGGCGAAAGCCUGACGGAGCAACGCCGCGUGAGUGAUGAAGGUCUUCGGAUCGUAAAACUCUGUUAUUAGGGAAGAACAUACGUGUAAGUAACUAUGCACGUCUUGACGGUACCUAAUCAGAAAGCCACGGCUAACUACGUGCCAGCAGCCGCGGUAAUACGUAGGUGGCAAGCGUUAUCCGGAAUUAUUGGGCGUAAAGCGCGCGUAGGCGGUUUUUUAAGUCUGAUGUGAAAGCCCACGGCUCAACCGUGGAGGGUCAUUGGAAACUGGAAAACUUGAGUGCAGAAGAGGAAAGUGGAAUUCCAUGUGUAUCGGUGAAAUGCGCAGAGAUAUGGAGGAACACCAGUGUCUAAGCGACUUUUCUGGUCUGUAACUGACGCUGAUGUGCGUAAAGCGUGGGGAUCAAACAGGAUAAGAUACCCUGGUAAUCCACCCCGUAAACCGAUGGA
rnacentral:rRNA from 1 species